GUUUGGUCGCCCGUCGAGGGUGCCAAGAGGGAAGCCGGUGCAAGUCCGGCGCAGUCCCGCUGCUGUAAGCUCACAUAUUGAGGUCCAGCGUCUUGUGCCACUGUAUGCCGCCAUAGGUAUAUGGGAAGGCAGGGCCGAAAAGAGCAAGCCAGAAGACCUGCCAAACCA
rnacentral:ncRNA from 1 species